UACGGGGGGAGCAAGCGUUGUUCGGAUUUACUGGGCGUAAAGGGCGCGUAGGCGGCCACCGCAAGUCAGUUGUGAAAUCUCUGGGCUUAACCCAGAACGGUCAGCUGAUACUGCGGGGCUAGAGUGCAGAGGGGGCAACUGGAAUUCUCGGUGUAGCGGUGAAAUGCGUAGAUAUCGAGAGGAACACCUGCGGCGAAGGCGGGUUGCUGGGCUGACACUGACGCUGACAGCGCGAAAGCUAGGGGAGCGAACGGG
rnacentral:rRNA from 1 species